AGAACAUGCACACACAUGCAGUUCAGGAGUUAUUGCAAAAUUGUUUCCCAGAAAAAUUGCUCCAAUUUACACUCUGAUCAUAAAAUUAGGGUUUUGAGAGAUUUAUUUGUGUUGAGUUAGUUCCAAGUGUUCUUGAAAAUGAGGGCUGGGGGAAGCUGACUUGGGAGAUUUGGGUCCUCUUCCAUAUGUGCAUGUGUCUUUGAUGGUCAUUAAUGAGAAGAAAAAGAUGCAUGAUUUUUUGUACUCCUAGUUCACAGAACUGAUGGUAUUGGUUAUACACACAGGGGAGUGCCAUAAAUUAUUUAUGUUUAAAAAACAUUGUGGUUUCAUGUAUAUGGAAUAAUCUUAAGAUUGUGAGUAGGGAAAGCAAUAAAGGUUAUUUGGAGUAACGUGGUAGCAAUGGAGAUAUUGAAAAAAUAAGGGAUAGAAUGUAUUUUAUUGGAAGUUAAUUACUUGUGUUUGACUUUACUGUGUGCCAAUAGUUCUUUCUGUCCUCAAUUUGCAGAUGAGACAACUGAACAGUGGACCAUUCCUAAAAUCAUCUAAUAAAGAGUUUAAGCUGAAUCUGGACAUCCUAACUGGUCUGAAUGCAACUUGGUCCUGUCAAGAUUUGACGAAUAUUACUUUCUCUAAUGAGGAUACAAUUGAAGGUAACUUUAGUCCUAUAUAAAUUAUAAGAUUGGGAUGGGGUGCAUUUUCUAACUGGUAAUAAUACUGUGACCAGAGUGUUCUCUUACACACAUUGAGUAACUACCACAUAGAGUAGACUAUUUUGAUGUUUUAUUUAGUGCUCACAAAUUGAUCAAUGGGAUAAUGGAUUCAGUACCAAUUAAUUAGAAAUGGACCAAUGUGUACACAUGCAAGAAUACUUCAAAAACAUUAGUGGAAAAUGGGAUUAAAAAUAAGUUUAUAUUGAUACAAAAAUUUUGAAAUACUCAUAUAGUUUCUUGCAACAUUCAUUUUCAUUAAGCUUUUUGAAAGCAAAGAUAUGACUUAAUCUAACUAAAUAUCAGUAACUUAAGAUAAGGAAGUGUUGCUUCCAGUACCUAAAAAUUGAUCAUCAGGGGCUGGCAUUGUGCCGUAGAGGGUUAAUAUACUGCUUGGGAUGCCUGCAUCUCGUAACAGAAUGCCAGUUCGAUCUGGGCCCCUCUAUUUUCUGUCUAGCUUUCUGCUAAUGUGAACCCUAGGAGACAACAGGUGACAGAUCAGAUACUUUGGUCUUUGCCACUCAUGUGGGAGACCAGAUGGAAUUCCUGGCUCCUGGCUUUAGCAUGGCACAGCCUAAGCUCUUGUGAGCAUGUGAGGUAUAAACCAGUAAACCAUCUCUCUCUUUGUCUCUCUCUCUCUAUGUAUUUAUCUCUCAAAUGAAUAAAUAAGCCUUUAAAAAAGGUAGCCUCA
rnacentral:lncRNA from 1 species